GAUGAACGCUGGCGGCGUGCCUAAUACAUGCAAGUCGAGCGAACGGACGAGAAGCUUGCUUCUCUGAUGUUAGCGGCGGACGGGUGAGUAACACGUGGAUAACCUACCUAUAAGACUGGGAUAACUUCGGGAAACCGGAGCUAAUACCGGAUAAUAUUUUGAACCGCAUGGUUCAAAAGUGAAAGACGGUCUUGCUGUCACUUAUAGAUGGAUCCGCGCUGCAUUAGCUAGUUGGUAAGGUAACGGCUUACCAAGGCAACGAUGCAUAGCCGACCUGAGAGGGUGAUCGGCCACACUGGAACUGAGACACGGUCCAGACUCCUACGGGAGGCAGCAGUAGGGAAUCUUCCGCAAUGGGCGAAAGCCUGACGGAGCAACGCCGCGUGAGUGGUGAAGGUCUUCGGAUCGUAAAACUCUGUUAUUAGGGAAGAACAUAUGUGUAAGUAACUGUGCACAUCUUGACUGUACCUAAUCAGAAAGCCACGGCUAACUACGUG
rnacentral:rRNA from 1 species